CUCAAAAGGACCCGAUAAUAAAAUGGCCGAGUGUCCGAUCCUUCUCUCUUAAAACCCCCUGGCUUUCUCUUUUCUCUAUCUAAACCCAAUCCCGGCACAACAACCUCCGACUCGCCAAGUCCUUGCCUGGUCAGGCCCGUGCUUUCACACGACUCCGAAGCAUCCUAUAAUCCUGUCUCGUUUACUGCAUUAGUUUUGAUCAAAGGUUUUUUUAAAAAUCUUUCGUAGAUCCAGCUCGCGGUUCUUUGAGCAUCGAAUUACUUUAAUAGCUGAAUAAGAUCAAUGGAGGUUAUUUACUUGUGAGUUUUAUUGAGGAAAAAAAGUGAAUUUUUUAGGGAUCUUUUUUUGAUAGAGGAUGAGAGAAGGGUUGAGAUCUAGUGUCAAUUUAUUGGCGAAAAUGGAGAAAAAUGAGGUUUCUCCGAGCAAGGAAAUGGUUACUGAGAAAGUUGGUGGUUUGAAACAAGGAGAUUGUGAAUUCACUGACGAGGAGAACCCGAAAUUGAAUCAAGAAGAGGCGUUAAAAGAAGAAAUGGAAGUGGAUCAGAGAGAUAGGCUUAAAAUCGAAGAAUGUGAAGGAGGGAAUGAUUUGAGGGAGUGUAAUGCUGUUGAGGGUAGUACGAAUAGAAGGAAAAGAAGUAUGGUUGAUGGUGAGGGAGAGAUUGAGGAUGGUGGUGUUGAAAAGAAGAAGCUAAAGGAGGGUGCGGAUGGUGAAAAUGUGGUUGUCGUCAGGGUUCUGCGGUCAAGGUCUGUGACAAAAACUAAGAGUAGGAAGGAGAUUGAUAGAGGGCAGCAGACCGGAGGGAGUGAUGGCUCUGAGAGGAAAAGGGUUGAGGUAAAAAUAGAAGAGAGGGAUCAUUCUGAUGGUGAAGACAGUGGGAAAUUAGAUAAUGAGGCCAGGGAUAAAUCAAAGCAAAAUCAUGGUAGCUCACCCAAGGACCAGAAGAGUGACAGGACUGAGAAGAGAUUGGCUGAGGUGAAAAAGAAAGAUAGUGAUCAUUCUGAUGGUGAAGACCCUGACCAGUCAGAUAACGAUGCAGGGAGAAUGUUAAAGCACAAGCGUGGGAGGCCCUCCAAGGCUCAGAAGAGUGAUGGGCCUGAGAAGAAAAGGAUUGAGGUGGUAAAUGAAGAAAGUCAUCAAUCUGCUGGUACAGAGAUUGAACAGGCAGAUAAUGAGGCAAGGGAAAAGUUAAAGCCCAAGUGCGGGACACCCCCCAAGGUUCAGAAGAAUGAUGUGUCUGAGAAGAAAAGGGUUGAGGUGAAAAGGGAAGAGAGUGAUCAAUCUGCUGGCGAAGAGAGUGAUCGAGCACAUAGUGGGGCAAGGAAAAUAUUAAAGCAUAAACAUGGAAUGUGCCACAAGGGGCAGAAGAGUGAUGGAUCCGAGAAGAAAAGAGUCAAGGUGGGUAAAGAAGGCAGCCAUCAAUCUGCUGGUGAAGAGAGUGAACUGUCAGGUAAUGAGAUGAGUGAAAAAUUAAAGCCUAAGCGUGGGAGACCCCCCAAGGCUAAGGAGAGUGAUGAGUCUGGGAAGAAAAGUAUUGAGGUGGUUGAUGGUGACUCUGCAGAAUCUUCUGGUCAAGAGAGUGAUGAAUCUUAUGGUAAAGUGGGGCAGAAGCGGAAGCCUAAGCGUGGGAGACCCAGCAAGUUGAACAAGGGUGUAAAGGUGGGUGGGCUGAGGAAAAGACAGUGGGGGGAAAUGACAAGACAUAAUAAGAACCACAAUGUGGGAGCUAGAAGUGCAGUAUCUGGAAAGAAACUUGGGAAAAAAUCUAAUGCAACAAAGUUAGCCACAGCUAGGAAGAACAAAUGCAGCAAUGAUGAAAAGGAAGAGGGGAGAAGUAUACAGAAGGCAGUAGUGAGAGAAAAAAUUAUAGAACUUCUUUUGGGUGCAGGCUGGACAAUUGAGCGUAGGCCUAGGAAUGGUAGAGAGUACUGUGAUGCUGUGUAUGUUAAUCCUGAAGGAAGGACUCAUUGGUCUGUUACCUUGGCUUACCGGGUGCUUAAGCAGCAUUAUGAAGGUGGUGGUGGUGAUUCAAAUACUUGUAAGACUGGUUUCAAGUUUACUCCUCUACCAGAUGAAGAACUCAGCAUACUAGCAAAAGUAAUAGGCAAGGAAAGGAGUGAUAAAAAUAAAAAGAAAAAGAAAUGGAAGCAAGUGAAGGAUGGGAAAACAGGUGAAGGAGUUGCAAAAGAGAAAAAUAAGAAAGGAAAACUGCACAAGAGAAAACAGGAUGCUUUGGCAAUUCCCGGACGUAAGAAGUUGAAGGACAGUACAAAACGGAAAUCUUCUCUCUGCGAACAGGAUGACUGUGCGGGUAUGUCAGAUGACGGAACAACAGUCAGGGAUUUUAAGCAACUCAAAACACAUAAUAGAAAGCGGUGUGCUCUAAUGAUUCGCAACUCCAAGGAGGGUGCAGGUUCAGAUGGUGGUGGCUAUGUGCUUUAUAAUGGGAAGCGAACUGUACUAGCCUGGAUGAUUGACAUGGGCACUGUUCCAUUGGCUGGAAAGGUGCAGUACUUGAAACGCAGGAAGACACGAACAGUCCUGAAGGGUAAAAUCACAACAGAUGGCAUUCAGUGUGAUUGUUGUGGUGAAACUUUUGCAAUCUCGGACUUCGAGGCUCAUGCAGGCAGCAAAUCCUGCCAGCCACUCAAAAACAUAUUCUUAGAGAAUGGACCUUCACUCUUGCACUGCCAGCUAGAGUCAUGGCAUAGACAAGAUGAAUCUGAUCGUAAAGGGUUCCAUUUUGUUGAUAUUGAUGGUCAAGAUCCAAAUGAUGAUACAUGUGGGAUCUGUGGAGAUGGUGGAAACCUUAUUUGCUGUGAUAGUUGCCCAUCAACAUUUCAUCAAAGCUGCCUAGAGAUAAAGAAGCUCCCUUCAGGGGUCUGGAAUUGCACAUAUUGUUCAUGCAAAUUUUGUGGGAUGGCUGGUGGGGAUGCAUGUCAGAUGGAUGAGAAUGAUGCUGCUGCCCGACCUGCAUUACUGACAUGUUGUUUGUGUGAGGAGAAAUAUCACCACUCUUGUAUUCCUGCUGAGGACACUAUAAAUGAUUAUCACAGCAGUCUAUCCUUCUGCGGGAAGAAAUGCCAAGAGUUACAUGAUAAACUCCAGGCGCUUCUUGGGGUUAAACAUGAAAUGGAAGAGGGCUUUGCAUGGACUGUUGUUCGCAGAUUUGAUGUUGGCUCUGAUAUUACUCUCAGUGGAAUGCAUCGGAAAGUUGAAUGCAAUUCCAAGGUAGCUGUUGCGUUGCACAUAAUGGAUGAGUGCUUUUUGCCCAUGCCUGACCAUAGAAGUGGGGUUAACCUGAUUCGUAAUAUUGUAUAUAAUUUUGGGUCAAACUUCAAUCGACUGAACUACUGUGGUUUUCUGACUGCAAUUCUAGAGCGAGGGGAUGAAGUAAUCUCUGCUGCAUCCAUUAGGAUCCAUGGGAACCAGUUAGCAGAGAUGCCAUUCAUUGGGACCCGCCACAUGUACAGGCGGCAAGGAAUGUGCCGCCGGCUUCUAGGUGCAAUUGAAACUGCUCUCUGCUCUCUAAAUGUCGAGAAAUUGGUCAUACCUGCAAUCUCUGAGCUAAGGGAAACCUGGACUUCUGUUUUUGGUUUUAAACAACUUGAAGGAUUGAGCAAGCAAAAAAUGAGGUACAUGAAAAUGGUGGCAUUCCCUGGCGUUGAUAUGUUACAAAAACCUUUGUUGAAGGAUCAUCAGUUUGCUGAAGCAAAUACGGUUCCCACUGAAGGUUUGACAUCCUUGGAACUCAAGGAACAAUAUACCAUAGAUGAGAUAUCAUGUAAUUCUGAUGAGAAAUGUUCGUCAGUGAGAUUUGAUUUAAAAGGUUCUAGUGAAAUUAGUAUACCUCAUACUGGCAACAUAAAUGAUCAAGCUGCUGCAGUUGAAUCUGGUUCCCUUCCUGAUUGCCUGAAUGAUAUUUCCGAUGUUACAAGUGAAAAUACUAAUCUACCUGCUUGUCCCAAGGACAAAGCUGUUGAUCAAUUAAGUGCGGUUUCUAUUUCUUUGUGUGAUGCCAAUGAACAAACUAGAGAGGUGACUGAACAUCAGAGUGCUGUUUCUGGUUCCAUUGCUACCUCUGAUUGUGAGAGGAAGCUGAAAGGGGAUACACAUAAGGACCAGAAUGAUGUUUCCAAGAUCGAAAGCAAGCUGUUUGACGUAUCUUUUAUUGGGUCUGAAGCGGCUGACUCUCAAGGGAAGUGUCAGUGUGCUUCCAGGGAGGUUACUGAGACUGUUCCUUGUGAAGUGAAAGGUGAAGAUAGCAGCGAUAGACAGAACCUCGAUUCGCUUGAUGAUGAUUCUAUGCCCACUUCAAAAAUCAUAGCAAGUCAACUCCAGUACUUUGCUUUUGGGCACGAACUUAAAGUUUCAGAUAUCAAUGCUGUUCACUACGAGUCCACUACCUGCAAUAUUUCCAGUGAUAUAGUUCAAUCAACAACCACAACAGUUCCCCAGAAAGUGCAAGAUGCUGUUUAUGGUCAUUGUGGGGCAUUGCCUGUCGACCAAAAUAUUAGCACUUCUUGUCAGGGCAAGGGGCCUAAUGCGAAGGACAUGGUUGUCCUGGCUACUGCUGAUUCCAAUUCUGUAGAUUCUGAUGUCACUGCAAAAGCAGAUCUGCAAUCUUGCAGAAGUAAUGGAUCUUGUAUUGCCACAGAGCUCAUAGUGAGCCCUUGUGGAGUUGAUGCGGAUGGCGUCCAUGACAUUGAAGAAGUGUCUGACACAGUUCAAAGUGAUGCGCUUUCUCCUGAUGGAGGUUUAAUUUCUGAUGGGCCUCGGAUUAAUACCAAAUCUUCAGAGCACCCCAAUUCUGUUUCUGAGGUCGAGCCUGCUAAUUUGACACAGUGCGCCUCUGAACCUUUACGCAAUUCAAGCUCUGCUCCUGGUGUUGGCCUGCACUGUGCCUCUGGUGAUGGUAAUUCAUGCGGUGCACCUGAGGUGAUAAUUUUGUCAAAUCAGGCUAGUUGAUUCCGAUUGGCAUACUCUUUUUGGCGAUAGAAAGAUGGCAUUUUGUGGAUGGCGGCCAUGGAUAAAUGUGAUGGAGUUUUCUUGCAGAACUUGGAUGUUCUCUUCACAGACCGUGUUAUGCGAUUUUGUCAUUGAUUAGGAUGCCGAUAUAGCAUUCGGAUGCCUCAUUUGAUGGUGAUGAUUGAUGACAGCUUUGGCAGGUGUUCACAGACAAAGGUUGUCGUCUUAAUCAUAUGCCCAUCAAACAUUAUAGAGGACAUCUUUUUGUACAGUUAGAGCAGUCCAAGUCUUCAGUACUUUCCAAGUCACAUGUUAGAUUUUAGAUGCAUUUGAGGGUUGUGCAUCUUGACCUCUCCUAUGCCUAACGUGUUGAUAAAAUGGCCAUGCUUAAUACGCAGUCACCUGCUUGUCCUUUUCCCUGUCGAGAAUGGAAUUGGUUAUUCGUGGUUAAAAAUAAGAGAGAAAAGAAAGGAAAAUCCCCCUGAUAUGUAAAAUUAUUGAAUUCUAUGAUACUAAGUGAAAAAUGUCUUCAGAGAAGGCAUUUUUCUUCUUUAACCAAGGCAAGUUGCAUCUACACGUUAAUUUUAUAAAUUUAUUUUUAUUCCCAAUGUAUUUUUCUUAGAUAAACCACAGCUAACUUUUGAGAAAUUUGAUUAGUAAGUUAUUAUUCUCGUCAAA